rnacentral:rRNA from 1 species
UGCAGUCGAGCGGAUGAAGGGAGCUUGCUCCUGGAUUCAGCGGCGGACGGGUGAGUAAUGCCUAGGAAUCUGCCUGGUAGUGGGGGAUAACGUCCGGAAACGGGCGCUAAUACCGCAUACGUCCUGAGGGAGAAAGUGGGGGAUCUUCGGACCUCACGCUAUCAGAUGAGCCUAGGUCGGAUUAGCUAGUUGGUGGGGUAAAGGCCUACCAAGGCGACGAUCCGUAACUGGUCUGAGAGGAUGAUCAGUCACACUGGAACUGAGACACGGUCCAGACUCCUACGGGAGGCAGCAGUGGGGAAUAUUGGACAAUGGGCGAAAGCCUGAUCCAGCCAUGCCGCGUGUGUGAAGAAGGUCUUCGGAUUGUAAAGCACUUUAAGUUGGGAGGAAGGGCAGUAAGUUAAUACCUUGCUGUUUUGACGUUACCAACAGAAUAAGCACCGGCUAACUUCGUGCCAGCAGCCGCGGUAAUACGAAGGGUGCAAGCGUUAAUCGGAAUUACUGGGCGUAAAGCGCGCGUAGGUGGUUCAGCAAGUUGGAUGUGAAAUCCCCGGGCUCAACCUGGGAACUGCAUCCAAAACUACUGAGCUAGAGUACGGUAGAGGGUGGUGGAAUUUCCUGUGUAGCGGUGAAAUGCGUAGAUAUAGGAAGGAACACCAGUGGCGAAGGCGACCACCUGCACUGAUACUGACACUGAGGUGCGAAAGCGUGGGGA